rnacentral:tRNA from 1 species
GGACAGGUGGGUGAGUGGCUGAAACCACGUCCCUGCUAAGGACGGAUAUGCAGUAAUGUGUAUCGAGGGUUCGAAUCCCUCCCUGUCCGCCA